rnacentral:piRNA from 1 species
UAUCUGAGGCUCGAAUGGCUUUGAUGGCGGU